rnacentral:rRNA from 1 species
AAUAUUGGACAAUGGGGGCAACCCUGACCCAGCCAUGCCUCGUGUGUUAAGAAUGUCUUCGGUUUGUAAUGCACUUUAAGUUGGGAGGGAGGGCUUUAGGUUAAUACCCUGAAUUUUUGACGUUACCAACAGAAGAAGCACCGGAUAACUCUGUGCCAGCAGCCGCGGUAAUAUCGAGGGUGCAAGCGUUAAUCGGAAUUACUGGGCGUAAAGCGCGCGUAGGUGGUUCAGUAAGAUGGGUGUGAAAUCCCCGGGCUUAACCUGGGAACUGCUUUCAUAACUGCUGAGCUAGAGUACGGUAGAGGGUAGUGGAAUUUCCUGUGUAGCGGUGAAAUGCGUAGAUAUAGGAAGGAACACCAGUGGCGAAGGCGACUACCUGGACUGAUACUGACACUGAGGUGCGAAAGCGUGGGGAGCAAACA